GUUUUUGUGUAGACAUCUAUUUUCAUUUCUCUUGGGUAAACAGUGGAUACUAGCUGGGUCACAUGGUAGUUCUGUUUAUAAAAAUCAAGCUCAACAUUGCCACCUCACCAAAGGAGAUGCACGGUUGGCAAACAGGCCUAGGAAGUGCUCACCUCACAGGUCAUUAGGAAACUGCAAAUUAAAACAAAGUCCACUGAGGGCUGGGGAUUUAGCUCAGUGGUGCCACUCCUGCCUUGCAAAUGCAGGGUCCUGAGUUCAAUCCCUGGUACAAAAAAAAAAAAGGUACCACCUUGUACCUGUCCAUGACCAAAGUCUAGAACACAUUACCGCCAAGUGCUGGCGGGGCUGUGAAGCCACCGAAGCUCUCAGCACUGCCUUCUUUGGAAGAGUUUCUGACAAAACUAAACAUACCCUAUCAUAUGAUCUAGUAGUUGAGCUUUAGUAUUUACCUAAAUGAGCUGAAACUCCUGUCCACACAAAAGCCUGCACACAUGUUUACGGCAGCUUUAUGAAUAAUCACAAAAACCUGAACACAAGGGAAGACAUCUUCAGUAGGUGGACAGACAACUGAUGCAUCCAGACAACAGACGAGUACUUGGUGCUAAAAAGAAAUGAGCUUUCAAGCCGUAAGACAGCAUGGAUCUCAGAUGUGAAUUAAGUGCUGGACCUUAACUGCCAGGGUGACGGUACCGAGGACAGGCCUCUGGGAGGUGAGCUCCUGCCUCUGCAGGGGCCAAGGCCCUGAUGGAGAGAGGCAUCCUGCAGCGCCCUUGCCUUGCAAGGUGAAGACACAGCUGACAGGCACCAGCAUCAUGACCUUGGACUUCAGCCUCCAGAACUGAGAAGAGCUCCUGUUCUGUGUAAAUCCCACUGUCUGUGCUGUUCUGUUACAGCAGCACAAAAUACGAGUGCUGCUAUUACUAAACUCUGGACUUGGGUCCGGAAAGUUCAUCGGCUGUGACAAAUGCUGGAAGGGUGGGCAUGGGGGAGGGUUGGGGCAGCAACUGCCUGUACUUUUUGUUCAGUUUUACUGUGGACCAAAAAUUGCUUCAAAAAUUGUCUAUUAAUAGAAAAGUUAGGAAAAAAUGCACACCUACUGAGCUUUUCCCAGA